CAGUAGCCGCGGGAAUACGGAGGAUCCAAGCGUUAUCCGGAUUUAUUGGGUUUAAAGGGUGCGUAGGUGGCCUGUUAAGUCAGGGGUGAAAGACGGCAGCUCAACUAUCGCAGUGCCCUUGAUACUGAUGGGCUUGAAUGAACUAGAGGUAGGCGGAAUGUGACAAGUAGCGGUGAAAUGCAUAGAUAUGUCACAGAACACCAAUUGCGAAGGCAGCUUACUAUGGUUUGAUUGACACUGAGGCACGAGAGCGUGGGGAUCAAACAGGAUUAGAUACCCCUGUAGUCCCUGUCUCUUAUAC
rnacentral:rRNA from 1 species